CAACGUCAUGCCUUUUUUAUUUUCAGAAAUCUCCCAUGUUAAAACACAGGUUUUAUGGUUCAGAAGAGCUGUACUUGGAGGACUUGCUACAUGCACACUCUUAAAUAUAUUAUGGUGUUGGGCAGUUUUAGAGAUUGUUCCCCAGAUGGCCGUGGAGUCACUGCUGGAGGAGAAACUCUUAAAUAGCAGCGCAGGACAAACAGAGACGACUCAUACAGCACACACAUUUAUCUACUCCAACAUAUCCCUAGAGGAGUGUCGGCGGUAGUUAUGAGAGGGAAUGAUGGGACUCUUGAGUGAGAGAUCCGCAGAACAACA
rnacentral:lncRNA from 1 species